rnacentral:tRNA from 1 species
AGAAAUCUCAUUCAGUUAGGUAUGGUAGAUUAAGAUGGAAUCCGACUAGUUCCGGGUUCGAGUCCCGGGCAACCCA